rnacentral:rRNA from 1 species
GACGAACGCUGGCGGCGUGCUUAACACAUGCAAGUCGAACGGAAAGACCCUGCUUUUGUGGGGUGCUCGAGUGGCGAACGGGUGAGUAACACGUGAGUAACCUGCCCUUGACUUUGGGAUAACUUCAGGAAACUGGGGCUAAUACCGGAUAGGAGCUCCUGCUGCAUGGUGGGGGUUGGAAAGUUUCGGCGGUUGGGGUUGGACUCGCGGCUUAUCGGCUUGUUGGGGGGGUAGUGGCUUACCAAGGCUUUGACGGGUAGCCGGCCUGAGAGGGUGACCGGCCACAUUGGGACUGAGAUACGGCCCAGACUCGUACGGGAGGCAGCAGUGGGGAAUAUUGCACAAUGGGCGGAAGCCUGGUGCAGCAACGCCGCGUGGGGGAUGACGGCCAUCGGGUUGUAAACCGCUUUCGCCUGUGACGAAGCGUGAGUGACGGUAAUGGGUGAAGAAGCACCGGCUAACUACGUG